rnacentral:rRNA from 1 species
CAGGGAAUCUUCCACAAUGGACGCAAGUCUGAUGGAGCAACGCCGCGUGAGUGAAGAAGGGUUUCGGCUCGUAAAGCUCUGUUGUUAAAGAAGAACGUGGGUAAGAGUAACUGUUUACCCAGUGACGGUAUUUAACCAGAAAGCCACGGCUAACUACGUGCCAG